GCUGAGGUGCCCUCGCAAAUUUCUUUCUGACAGUCCUGGUGAAAGGUGUACCCUCUGGACCCUCCUUGGGUUAUGUCAAGUAAUUUUCAUCUUUUCCAAAAUGAAUAAUUGAAAUGGGAACAUGUGAGAAGACCCCGAUGAAACUGGGAGCAUUGAACCCCUGAAUUCUGCUGAGUGUUCUUUGCAGUAAAAGACCCCUUCUCUACAGCCUUAUGGAGAGUUCCUUACAGUUUACUGAGGAAGAGAAAACUCAGGCCUGAUUUAUAGAUGAUCCUGCCCAAUAUGUAAUACAACCCACAAGUGGACAACUACACAAGACAGUCCCUUCUGGGACACCCUGAAGGACAGCAGUGAAGGAGAAUUAACUUUUCCAACCAGAAAUCAACAUCCUGAAGGGCCAGGAUCAGAGGCCAUCAAAGGUUUAUUACCAGCCAGAUUAUUAUCAAGGAGCAGAGACAAUAAUUAUUACAUUGUUGACAAACAGAUACAUUUUUGCUUUCUGGUCCCUUCAUGUUGUACUCAGGAUUAGUAUUUUUAGGAAGAUUAGAGAAUACUUUGCAGAAUACCUUAAGUGAUAAAAAGUCACUAGGGAGUAUAUUUGCAGCUCAGCAUGUGGGACCAAAGAAGUUCAGCUCAUUGCCUGAUCUAAAAAUAAUCAUCCUUGAUGUAGAAUCCUGUUAGGUUCAGAAAUGUAACAUAUAAGCUAAAAUAUUUCUACCUAUCUCAGAAGUCCCAAUUAUACAAAUUUAUAUCUGCAGAUCUCAUAGUCUAAAAUCUGAUGCAUCUCUCUCCAGCUCUCUCCAUGUACUUUGAAUAAAGAAUAUAUAUAUUCUCUGAAUCUCUAGAUCUCCUUCUCAAAA
rnacentral:lncRNA from 1 species